CCAUUGGAGGGCAAGUCUGGUGCCAGCAGCCGCGGUAAUUCCAGCUCCAAUAGCGUAUAUUAAAGUUGCUGCAGUUAAAAAGCUCGUAGUUGGAUCUCAGUUACGGGCAGGUGGUUCACUUUACAGUGCUACUACCUGAACCGAACCUAUUGCUGGAUCUCUUGGGUGCCCUUCACUGGGUGCCCCUUGAGACCAGACUGUUUACUUUGAGAAAAUUAGAGUGCUCAAAGCAGGCGAAUGCCUGAAUAGUUGUGCAUGGAAUAAUGAAAUAUGGCCUCGGUACUGUUUUGUUGGUUCACGGUGCUCGAGGUAAUGGUUGAAAGGGACUGACGGGGGCAUUCGUAUUGCGACGUUAGAGGUGAAAUUCUUAGAUCGUCGCAAGACGGACUACUGCGAAAGCAUUUGCCAAGAAUGUCUUCAUUAAUCAAGAACGAAAGUCAGAGGUUCGAAGGCGAUCAGAUACCGCCCUAGUUCUGACCUUAAACGAUGCUAACUGGCGAUCCAGUGGGGGUAUUUAAAAUGACCUGCUGGGCAGCUUCUGGGAAACCAAAGUUUUUGGGUUCCGGGGGAAGUAUGGUUGCAAAGCUGGAACUUAAAGGAAUUGACGGAAGGGCACCACCAGGAGUGGAGCCUGUGGCUUAAUUUGACUCAACACGGGAAACCUCACCAGGCCCAGACACUAGAAGGAUUGACAGAUUGAGAGCUCUUUCUUGAUUUGGUGGAUGGUGGUGCAUGGCCGUUCUUAGUUGGUGGAGUGAUUUGUCUGGUU
rnacentral:rRNA from 1 species